UUUUGUGCACAGAGGGUUUGUGGCUCGGUGAGGGAUAGAAAAUCCUGGAGGGAGGGACCCGUGUGGUGUGAGGGGCUUCACUGUGGGGCCAAAUUCCGUGCAAAGCUGACAAAGACAGGCCCAAAAAAUCCCUUCUAAUACCUGAUUUGCCAAUCUACCUGCAUCUGUCUUAAUCCAGACCAUGUUCUAUCCAUACAAUUAAAUUUAGGGACUGCAAACCUUCGGCAGUGACAGCGGUGAGGUUAAAUACAUUACUCACAAGAAGGAAACUGUGAAAUAAUGGCCUCUUCUGGUGUCUGACACCUUGAAGAGGUGCUGGUGGGGGUGUUCCCUGCAGUGCAUCCCUGGGUUUUGUUUUAAAGGAGAAGAAAGAAGCAGCAUGGGGAGCCUGGAUCCAGCUCGCGCUGGGCUGAGCCCUGGAAGGGAGGGAAGGAUGGAGGAGAGCCCAGGAGAGGAGCAGGAAUUCGGGAUGGGCUCUGGCAAAUGUAGGACAAUCUCUGCUAUCCUUGGAAAUAUCAGGAUGAUCAGCUUCUAUGUGCCUGAUGAAGACUUGAGCCAGAACCUUCUGUGAAAGCCCCUGGGUGCCAGAGCUGGGAAUUUUCUCUGUGGAAAGCCAAGCCCCCAACACCUCCCGCUGCUCUCCUCAGAACCCAAAUCCCCUUUGCUGAGAGCUGAACCCCCACAGUGCCCAAAUUGCUCCCUUUUUGCAGAAGAGAGGAUAAAAAACCACUCCUGAACCCAGC